GCAGGCCUAAUACAUGCAAGUCGAGCGCGCCCUUCGGGGUGAGCGGCGGACGGGUGAGUAACGCGUUUGUAACCUACCUUUAUCUGGAAGAUAGCCCGAAGAAAUUCGGAUUAAUACUCCAUAAUACUAUAGUUUGGCAUCAUUUUAUAGUUAAAGCUCCGGCGGAUAAAGAUGGGCAUGCGUAACAUUAGUUUGUUGGUGAGGUAAGAGCUCACCAAGACUACGAUGUUUAGGGGGUCUGAGAGGAUAGUC
rnacentral:rRNA from 1 species